GAUGAACGCUCGCGAUAGGCUUAACACAUGCAAGUCGAGGGGCAGCACAAGGUAGCUUGCUAUCUGGGUGGCGACCGGCGCACGGGUGCGUAACGCGUAUGCAACUUGCCCUAUACAGGAGGAUAACCCGUCGAAAGACGGACUAAUACUGCGUAUGCUCACAACUUGGCAUCAAGUGGUGAGGAAAGAAAUUCGGUAUAGGAUAGGCAUGCGUCCCAUUAGCUUGUUGGUGAGGUAACGGCUCACCAAGGCAACGAUGGGUAGGGGAACUGAGAGGUUUAUCCCCCACACUGGUACUGAGACACGGACCAGACUCCUACGGGAGGCAGCAGUGAGGAAUAUUGGUCAAUGGGCGCGAGCCUGAACCAGCCAAGUCGCGUGAAGGAUGACUGUCUUAUGGAUUGUAAACUUCUUUUAUACGGGAAUAACAAGAGCCACGUGUGACUCCCUGCAUGUACCGUAUGAAUAAGCAUCGGCUAACUCCGUG
rnacentral:rRNA from 1 species